rnacentral:rRNA from 1 species
UACAGAGGUCCCAAGCGUUGUUCGGAUUCACUGGGCGUAAAGGGUGCGUAGGCGGUCGGGUAAGUCUGACGUGAAAUCUUCAAGCUCAACUUGGAAACUGCGUCCGAUACUAUUCGGCUAGAGGAAUGGAGGGGAGACUGGAAUACUUGGUGUAGCAGUGAAAUGCGUAGAUAUCAAGUGGAACACCGAUGGCGAAGGCAAUCCCGUGGGCCUGCACUGACGCUCAUGCACGAAAGCGUGGGGAGCAAGCAG